AAGACUACAUACUUUCAGGGAUCAUUUCUGUAGUUCGUUACUAGAGAAGUUUCUCUGAUCGUGUAGAGCACCCAAAACUGCAAGGAGGAGUCACAGCACCCUCUCCUGAGCUGGAAGCUGUUUCCAGGAGUUGCUUUUGCAACUACCAAAAUUUUACUAUUGAUGAUCAUUCUUCUCUUCCCUUGGAAAAGUGAUGAUGCAGUCUGAGUGGU